GGAGUGAUAGCUCAGAGGCCAGAGCUGCGGAUUCCAAACCCGCCGGUCGCAGGUUCGACUCCUGCUCACUUCG
rnacentral:tRNA from 1 species